rnacentral:lncRNA from 1 species
UUUUUUUUGGAGUCAAGUCUCACGGAGACUGAUGGAAAAUUCAGAGAGAUGUAGUGGACAUAAAGAAUUACAGGGCUAUGGCUGAUAAAAUCCUACACAAGGUAUAGGAGUAGAUGGGCCAGUGCUUGAAGGGACUUUGGUAUGGGGAUCUCUUCUCAUUUAGAAAAAACAAAAGUUCUGUGUGUUAUACUUAAAAUCCAGUGUGAAAAUGAUUAUUUUUAGACUCUCCUUAUCUCUCUAGUCUUAACCAAUAAUUAAGGAAGGAAAGUUUAUUAAAUAUAGAAGGACUAGGGGAAAUUAUGAGCAAGCUUGAAAAAUGUAAGUUGUUAAGAGUUUUUUCCUGUCCUGAAGGGUACUGGUAUUGCAUGGCAUGAAGGCUAUAAUAAAUGCAGAACAGUUGGACUAUAUGGAAACUAGGUGCGUUUCCUGAAGGAGAGGAAGUAAUGCACGUGUCACUGUUCCUUUUGCUCCUGUUUUUAUAUGAUUUUCAUCACUGAGAAAAGAGUUAUCUAGUUUUCCUUGAACUGAUGAAAAGGUUUUUUUCCUUUCUUCCUCUGUUAUUCUGUGAAAUGUCUGUGCUAAACCUAUAUUGAUUGAUACUCUGGAAAUUACCUCAUUAUGUUCUAUUGUUCUGGAUUUGAACAUGUUAAUCUACAAUGACUUUUCCAACAGUUGUAGAGCUAACUUAGUGACUGCAAUUUGACCAGGUGUUGGUGGUUGGGGGGGGAAAGAUUUUGUCCUCUGUUAAGUAAGACUCAGUAAUGUUUCCUUUGCCAUAAUUUAUCUGUUGUGCAUGCUAUGUGAACAGUUUAAAAGUUAUAAUUGCUUUAGGAAGAAGCUUGAAUAGAAGCAUAAUAGUAUAUAACAUUACAUAAUUUCAUUCAGUAAGGGUGAAACUUUUAGAAUGUACAAUGCAUGCCCGGAUUGGUAAAUUAGAGAGAUGACUAUAUAUUAAUUUUAAUCUAAACAGGAAUUUUAGGAAGCUUUGUUUUUGGGUGCACUGGAAAGAACUGUAGGAAAUUGAUUUUAUUAUUGAAGUGCCAUCUCUUCUGUAUUUAUUUUCUUACUUUAAACUGUCAUAUUGCUGCUAUUCCACUCCCAGCAGCUACUGUGUCAUGUUAAAUAAUGGCAAAUUGGUGUUUUUUACAAUAAUCCACUAGAGGACAGAGAUGGUAUUCCAUUCUUAAAUGUUACAUAGUUGCUAAAUAGUAGUAUAUUGCUUCAGCAGUUUUUCAGUGGACCUUUUUUGCCCUAUCAGAAAAAGUGUGGAGGAAACCUGCAGUAGCUAGAAAGAAGGAAUCAUAUUAAUUGAUCAUAUAUAUGUGUGUGUGUGUGUAUAUAUAUGUGUGUAUACAUAUAUACAUACGCACACAACACACACUCUCAGAGAUAUUUUAAAAGUAAUUGGCAUCUUGGUAUCAUACUUAAAUAAGCUUUCUUGUUAAACAAACAAACAAAUUA